UACAGAGGUCUCAAGCGUUGUUCGGAUUCAUUGGGCGUAAAGGGUGCGUAGGUGGCGCCGUAAGUCAGGUGUGAAAUUUCGGAGCUUAACUCCGAAACUGCAUUUGAUACUGCGGUGCUUGAGGACUGGAGAGGAGAUUGGAAUUCACGGUGUAGCAGUGAAAUGCGUAGAUAUCGUGAGGAAGACCGGUGGCGAAGGCGGCAUCCUGGACCAACACUGACGCUGAUGAGCGAAAGCCAGGGGAGCAAACGGG
rnacentral:rRNA from 1 species